UCUGUGAAAGUUGAAACAGGAUGGGGGAAAGGACAUUACAUGAAGGGGACCCCAAUUAACCAAAUCCAGUUUUCAAAGUGUACUCUACCUUUUCAGGAACAGAUGGUUGUAACUGGCCUCUGCAUUAUGGCUGGUCACAAACCGGAUCUUCAAGAAACUUGUAGAAGCUGAAAACUCCAGUUCCCCAAGCAGUUCUUCUGUGGGAGGGGAGGAAUGAAGCAGAACGGAUACAGGUUUGUCCAAAGCUGAUAUGCCAGAUGCAAAUCUCUGCCAUGAGUCUGCAGCAAGGCGAAGCAAUAUUCUGAUGUGAGAACAGCCCCUCACACCACAAGAGCUUGACAAACCACACUGCAGCUUUGUAGAAAGGUGGUAAUGGAGCAGCAGAAGCAUGGCUGCCAUCAGUGUGUGAAGCCCUACAGCUAUCAAAUGCCUGUCUGAACAUGCAAAGCACUGCAAACUGCCAUCAUUCAUCUCCUGGGAAAAGGGAACAGCACUGCACAUGGCAAAAGGCACUUCCACAGCUGCAGGUGCUCCUAGGGCCACCUCAUAUGGAUUCACACACAUAUACACCCAAUUACCUGAAAGCAUCAGACCCCGGCACAUGGCCAGCUGCAGUAGCUGGGGUGGAGGUCUGGU